GGAAAGAAAAAACCACGUGAGGCAUACGUGGGAUUUUCUCCGUUAAAAAUUUGACGGGAAGUUGGGUCUAACACGUACUUUAUAAGAAGAUGUGGACUAUUAAUAGUCUAUAUAAAAGAAAUAAGAUGAUUUUGCCAAAGAUAGUGGACUAUUUUGGACAUUAUCUCAAAGAUUCACCCCAUCCGACAUGUUUUACAAUUUCCAAUCGGGCCAUUUCACAAAACCCCAAACCAAACCCAACUUACGACGUGAUAAUCUUGGGUGCCUCAGGUUUUACAGGCAAACACGUCAUUAGAGAAGCUCUCAAGUUCCUCAACAAUCCCUCUUCUCCCUUGAAGAACUUAGCCAUAGCAGGCCGUAACACUACCAAACUUUCGCGGGCCUUGCAAUGGGCCUCCGGCCCAAAUCCACCAGCCCAAAUCCCCAUCCUCAAUGCUGACACAUCCAACCCAUCUUCACUCCGUUACCUCGCUUCCCAGGCUAAGAUUAUCCUUAACUGUGUCGGCCCAUUUCGCCUUUACGGUGAGCCCGUUGUUAAGGCCUGUGUUGAUUCGGGUUGUGAUUACUUGGAUAUUAGUGGGGAGCCCGAGUUUAUGGAGAGGAUGGAAGUGAAGUACCAUGAUAAGGCUUUGGAAAAUGGGUCGUUAGUUGUUUCGGCCUGUGGAUUUGAUUCUAUCCCUGCUGAAUUGGGCUGGAUGUUCAACUCAAGACAGUGGCUGCCCCCUGCAAUUAGCAAUCAGGUUGAGGCCUACAUUAGUCUAGAAUCGGACAAGAGAAUUGUUGGAAACUUGGGCACUUACGAGUCAGCGGUGCUUAGUGUGGCUAACGCGGACAAAUUACAGGAACUAAGGCGCUCCAGGCCCAAGAGGCCUCGUCCUAUGAUUCCUGGUACUUCUCCUAGAGGUCCAUUGGUAAACCACCUUAAUGAAGUUGGGCUUUGGGCUGUAAAAUUACCAUCAGCAGAUGCAACUGUAGUCCGGAGAACACUUUCAUGUUUGGCUGAGGAUCCUCGUGGUUUAUCUGGUGUUAAUGAAAUCACUGAACAGAUUGAGAAGAGGGAGGCAUUCUGGUCUAGCAUAAAGCCAGCUCACUUUGGUAUGAAGAUAGGUUCGAAAUCUCUGUUAGGUGUUGUUCGUUUCAUUACAGUUGGCAAGUUCAUUGCUCUCUUUGGAAAAACUGGUAUAGGCAGGUGGCUGCUCUUGAACUUCCCUUCAGUGUUCAGUCUUGGAUUUUUCAGAAAAAAAGGUCCAUCCGAGGAUGAAGUGGCCAGUGCUACCUUUAAGAUGUGGUUUGUCGGACACGGGUUUACUGAUGGCAGUCUUGCGUCACAAGGGAACAGGAAACCUGAUAUGCAGAUAAUUACAAGAGUAAUGGGACCUGAGAUUGGUUAUUUGACAACUCCAAUCAUUCUAGUCCAGUGUGCCCUCACUUUGCUCCAGGAACGAGACAAUCUUCCAAAGGGAGGUGUUUUCCCUCCGGGCAUUGUAUUUGGCCCGACACACCUCCAAGAUAGGCUUCAACAGAAUGGAAUAUCUUUUGAUGUUAUUUCAAAGAGAACUGUUAACUGAAUGGUAGUUCAGAGUUUAAGCCAAAGCUAUUUGGAUUCUGCCGAAAAAUGAAAGUAGCCUUUGUCAUUUACUGAGCUUAAAUGCACUGCAGUAUAGGAGGAAUUUUGAUUUUGAAGGAUUCUGUGUGCUACUGCAUUAAAGUUUGGCGGGAAAGAAAAAAUCACAUGAGGCGUAUAUGGGUUGUUCAUCUAACCAAGAAAGAGAACAGCAUUUUCCAUCGUCCUCAUAAGGCUUGAAAGGUCCAAUGGGUAGAAAUUGUGGAAGAGUAAUACUGGUAUUGCCACUGUUGAGGGCUUCAAUUGUCUCUGACUCAAACCAAC